rnacentral:lncRNA from 1 species
CAAUUUAAGGAUGUUAAAUCCUUUCCUGGAAGGGAGGGGUGGUGGCGGAAGGAGAAGCUUCCGAAAAAGGCCUACCUCUACCACUCUGGUGCCUAAAUUUCACACCACGAAGUCCGUAUAGGUACAACGGUACUUUCCAUUCAUGGUGGUAGAGAAGUUGAUGAGGAGGCAAUGUGGAUUCUUGUGAAAACAUCAUUUGAAAUAAAGAUGUUCUACUUUUCACCCUUUAAGGUAUUCUUACAGGCCCCAGAUAGCAGGAGCAAAACAGGCAUGAGGUUUUCAUUUCCUCUGUGCUAAACACCAACAAAGGAUGGGUGCAUUAUAUGUUUAUGGAGAAUCGUCAGCGCUUUUUGUCCAAUAUAAGUAAAAUGGGUGAGUAUCAGAAUUGUGGAUGAGCG